rnacentral:lncRNA from 1 species
CAUUUGCUGGACUUCGUUUUUUUUUUAAAAGAGGAGUAUAAUGAACGUUUAUGUUUAAAGUAAUAUAAUGAAGUAAGUGUCCAGCGUUUUUGGUACGCUUACGUUUUAUGGGGGAUGCUGACGUCGUAAAUAAUUUCAGUUAUUUGAAGACGUUUCGUUUGUGGACUCAGAUUUAUGCACACUGCCAAGGCAAAAAUGUACCAGAUUUCCUAUAUAAAGCUAGUACGUUACAAUACUCGUGUCCCAUUUACCAGCCAUCGUCAUGGGAUUUUUUUUUAAUAUCAAGCCCUGUGUUUUAAUAUUUUUCUGUCUUCUUCCAAGAUAUCUCAAUUUUAAUUAUGGCAUCAAGUAAACACAUGAGUAAUCGUAAAGCAAUGAUAUAAAAUGUAUAAUUUUACUCUGCAAACGGCACUGCAAGUAUAUACAUAUAUAUCCAGAUUCCAUUGUAAAAAUCAUUAAUUCAUAUAUUACAGUUGUAUUUUGGAAGAUGUAUCCUUUUUAUACCAAUAUUUUUUUCCGAUGAUUCUAAGAUAAACUGUACAUUCCCCGAAGGGUGAAGUGAUGUGUGGCUCGAAUGGUCGUAUUUUGUAAUUCUUGAUUGGUCGAACUUUAUUACAAAAAUGUGUUCUGCCUCUCCUGGUGUUGUCUCAAAACAAAUAGAAAAUGCUUGUUGGCUUCUUAUAGAAAGAACACGUUUUGUAUAAUUUAAAAGCAUGGAUAAGAUGUGCGUAUAAUGUAUAUCGUCUAAAAUUCAUAAGAAAAUCAGUUUCCCCCACCGUACUUCGAAAAAUACGAUUUAUCUCCAUUAGGACAGUAACUUUUAAUAAUUCAAAACGCUUCUAAUGCUCACUAAACAUGGUAAAGUCUCCCUUGAGGAGACAAUAAACACACGCGAUGCAGCAAUGUUUCUGCUUCUAUCCGAUUGUUGGUAUAUUGCGAUCUUGUUAUCACGGAAUGUUAUUGUCUAAAAAUAUUUAUUUUUUUUAAAAUAAGGAGAUAUUGCAUGAUUACCAAAAGAUUAGUAUUCACCAA